GGAGUUAGCCGGUGCUUCUUCUGUGAGUGAUGUCCUUCCUGCCGGCUAUUAACCCGCAGGCCUUCUUCCUCACUGAAAGUGCUUUACAACCCGAAGGCCUUCUUCACACACGCGGCAUGGCUGGAUCAGGGUUGCCCCCAUUGUCCAAUAUUCCCCACUGCUGCCUCCCGUAGGAGUCUGGGCCGUGUCUCAGUCCCAGUGUGGCUGAUCAUCCUCUCAGACCAGCUACGGAUCGUCGCCUUGGUGAGCCGUUACCUCACCAACCAGCUAAUCCGACAUAGGCUCAUCCGAUAGCGCGAGGCCCGAAGGUCCCCCGCUUUCCCCCGUAGGGCGUAUGCGGUAUUAGCCUGGGUUUCCCCAGGUUAUCCCCCACUACCGGGCAGAUUCCUAUGCAUUACUCACCCGUCCGCCGCUCGCCACCAGGGAGCAAGCUCCCCGUGCUGCCGCUCGACUUGCAUGUGUUAGGCCUGCCGCCAGCGUUCAAUCUGAGCCAGGAUCAAACUACUGA
rnacentral:rRNA from 1 species